CAAGACACAGGGCACAGCCCAGUGUCGAGGGGUGAAUAAGCACACUUUGCUUUUGUGGCAGGAAUACUUCGGCAAAGAGGCAGAGAGUACGAUACAGUGAGGGGUGCAGAACAGGGGCCAAUCAUCCAGUUUACCACAGCAUUAAAGGAGUUUAACAGCAGAAAGUUUCCAUUCUGGCUGAGAAGAAUAAAUAGAAUCCAUGUACUUGACUCAAGCAGAUGACUUCUGUGAUUUGGUACUGAAGAUUUGUCAAACUCCGGGAAAUUUGCCACCAGCUGCACAAAUGAAGACACGUUCACACUUUUCCCCCACAAGACAAGCCCCCUUGCUCAUCGUAUCCACUUCACACCCAGUGUCCUGUGGAUCUAUAGCUCCCCCUUGAGGUGAGAAAACAAAGAGCCUGUAACAAUGAGUGACUUGAUCAAGGUUGCAAAACUGGCCCCUGGUGGAACUUGGAUGACACCGUGUCACCUCACUCCCUGACCAGAGAUCUUUCUGCGGCUGCUUUGCACUCUGCAGCCUGGAAAAAAGGAAAGGAAAGAGGAAGGCAAAGGCAAAAGGUAAGGGAAAAGAGAGGGGGAAGGGAAACAAGAGAAAGAGGAGGUAAAGAAAAGGGAAAGGAAAGGCAGAGGAGGAGAGGGAAGAGGAGCAGGGAGAGGAGGGAAGGGAACAGGAAAGGAGAAGGGAAG
rnacentral:lncRNA from 13 species